CUCUCACUGUUGUGGCCUCUCCCGUUGCGGAGCACAGGCUCAGCGGCCAUGGCUCACGGGCCCAGCCGCUCCGUGGCAUGUGGGAUCUUCCCGGACUGGGGCACGAAUCCGUGUCCCCUGCAUCGGCAGGCAGACUCCCAACCACUGCGCCACCAGGGAACCCCAGACACUGUAUUUUUUUUCUAGUAGUUUGAAAAUGACCCAGUGCGUGAGGAUAAGGAGAAAUAACAAGAUAGGGUAAGAACAGCAGAACAGCAUUCCGUAGGACAAGGAAAGCUGGUGGGGACAAGUGAGUAGGGAAGAAAAAUUUUAGAAUAUCUUGAUUUGGGGGUGCUCUGAUCUUCUAAGGGACUCUGGUUUUUGGAAGGUUGUUAUCAGUGGGACAGACCACUGAUGACAAAAAUGUCUGGCCUUUAGGACGCUAGAAAAAUGACAAGUAUCACCAUAACAGUUCCCUAUGCAGGGAUAUUUCCAUCAUGUCUUUCUACAGGGUUUUGCACCUUGCUUUUUCCCCUUGAUAUUUCAAGGAUAUUUUCUUCUGUUAUCAGUAUUUUCAGUGGCUGAACAGUCCUGUGGGUGUGUCAUAAUUUAAUUUUUAUUUAGCAUUUAGGCCGUUUCCAAAUUUAUAAAUAAUAUUGCCAUGAAUAUCUUUGUGGCUAAAGCUUUCAACACAGAUUGUAUAUUAGGACAGAGACCCCAAAGUGGAAUUUUUGAAAGAAUUGCUAAGAAUUUUUAAGGAACUUGAAACCAUCACUAGCACUGGUAUGUAUCUCAAAAGUUUUGGAAGAUGUACUUGUUUGGAUAGAUAGUACAUACACAUGGUUCAAAGUUCAAGGAUACCCUAUUGCCCUUUCUGCUCCAGAAAGAGAAAAUGAGGUUGAAACAGGGGAAAGUUUAACUGCAAGCUUAUUUGUGGCAAGCUUCUCUUCUGCUUUCUUGUGGUUGGAAUGAGUACCUUUUUUAAAAAUUAAAAAAAACAAAACAAAAAAAACUAAUAUGGUAACUUUCAAGUAUAUGCAAAAUAAAGAUAAUAGCAUGAUAUAACUCCAUAUAACCAGUUUCACCGUUUGUCAGCAUAUUGGCCAAUCUUCUGUCUAUAUACUUUACUACUGUUCUGGUCCCCUUGGUAUUUACCAUCUUGCAAGAUGGUUUCUUUUUUUUUUUUUGGGGUAUGCGGGCCUUUCACUGUUGUGGCCUCUCCAGUUGCAGAGCACAGUCAUCCAGACGCGCAGGCGCAGCGGCCAUGCCUUACGGGCCCAGCCGCUCCGCGGCAUGUGGGAUCUUCCCGGACCAGGGCACGAACCCGCGUCCCCUGCGUCGGCAGGCGGACUCCCAACCACUGCGCCACCAGGGAAGCCCGCAAGAUGGUUUUUUAUUGACCUAAAAUUACGCCUUUUUUCCCACAAAUGUUCCAAUUACCAGCAAGAUCUCUUUAUAUUCAGAUUUGGCAACCUCAAAGUGUAGUUUCUUGCUUAAGGCAUAUAAUCCAGGUGGCAGAUAAUUUUUUCCUUGAUUUUAAGAGGAGUGUUUCUCUCAGUUGACAUCCAAGUGCUGCUUCCCAUCAGCCUUUGCUCAAGAGGAGGAGGAAAGGCUGGAUGGGUCACGAGUGGGGAGAGGAAAGGUGGUGCUGUGUCAGGUAGGUUUAGAGAAGGGCUUUAUCAUUACUGGACUGUUUUUUACUGCCUUUUUUGGGAAAGGGACAACAAAGGCUGAUAUCUUUUGUCAGUUCUGGCUUUUAUCACCAAUCUGAUAGAAGUGCUAAAACCCAAUUGAUUUGUUGAGGGCGAUGUGGAUAAACAAGUUUUGCUUUUGUUUGGUUUUGUUCCUUGCCAAGCAUUUUUAAAAAAUCAUUUUUGCCUUAAAGUUAUCAUGGUACUGGUUGUAGGUAUGAGUAGGUAGGUAGGUAGGUAGGUAGAUACGUACAUACACUAGCUGUCUGGGCCCGGACACCUUGGGCUUGAAUUCCAUGCUCAGAAGUAUGGAGUUGACUAGUUUAUUGAUAUCAGUAAUACAGGUGAGUAUACUGCCGUUUUAUUUUUUUACCAUUCGAAGGUCCUGCAGAAAAAGGCUAGAUUUUUGGAACCAUUUAUUGAGGAAGAGAAAACAACAUGGUAAACUUCAAACAGCUUUAGUAAUGAAUUGAACUUUAAAAUUGCAUAAAAUAUAUUUCUAUUAACAUUACUUAUUUAGAACUCUGUCUAGCAUAUAGAUUCUCAAAAACACUGAAUUAUAGCUAGUUCUUAUUUUGGAUUUAUGGUACUCUUGCAUUUUGAUCAUGUUUUUCUCUUCAUAAUCUGGCUGGCUGUAUAAAUACAUAUAUUUUUUAAUGAAGGAUGAUUAAGACUAGCUUUUUAGCAAGUGUUUACAUCUGUUGUGAAAAUCACGUCAGUACUAUAAUUUACUAAGCUGUUAUGGCAUAGCAUUACCCUGAAAUGUUGAUGAGUUCCACAACACAGUGGAAAACCUAGUGUACUUUUGGGUAUGACUUUUUUCACAUCUGUUCUAUAGACUUCUGCACUGACUGUAAUAUUUUUGGGAAGACAAGAUUUUUGGGGGGGGGGGGUUACGCGGGGCUCUCACUGUUGUGGCCCCUCCCGCCGCGGAGCGCAGGCUCAGCGGCCAUGGCUCACAGGCCCAGCUGCUCCACGGCAUGUGGGAUCCUCCUGGACCGGGGCACGAACCCGUGUCCCCUGCAUCGGCAGGCGGACUCUCAACCACUGCGCCACCAGGGAAGCCCGGAAGACAAAAUUUUAAGUUACACACUCUCAGAUUAAAAUAUUGCAAUAUAGUUGGACAUUUACUGUCACUUGGGAAGCAUCUUUCUAUAGUUUUCCCAUUUAAUUUCACAACAGUUUUAUAAAGUGAUGGUCCCAUUUUACAGGCAGAAAUGUUUAAGUAAUUUGCUUAUUAAGGCUUGAGUUAAAAGUAUUUUUCCUAAAUCUCGGCCUCUUUUAAAAGGUUUUUUAGUUUUCAAAAAGGAGUCAAAGGUGAAGUGUAUACAUGGAUACUGGUAAUCUUUUAGCUAUUGUCUCAGUGAUCUGUUUUCAUUAAUUUUAGUCAAUGUUCCAUUGUUUGCAGAAGCUUUGAAAUUGCUUCAAACUGCUGCAUAUUUAAUAUUUUCCCAUUUGGUUGUGCUUGAGAGGGUUGUUAUGUAAUCCAGGUUUUUAAUACAGAGCAAACUUCUUUAGGACAGCCCUAAGAUGAAAUACUCAAUAUGAGUGUAAUCUUUCUUCUAGAAAAUAUUUGGUCCCAUGACUGUGGUGUGUUUUAAAUACCAUUUAACAAAGGAGAACUUGCAGUUUUUUAGCAUAAGGAGGUAAGUACCAUGCUUUUGCCAUUGGAGUCUUACAGGUAUGGCCAAGAAGUGAAAGGAUGCUACUCAAACUGAAUGGAAGAGUAUACCUCACUUGAAAGAAAUGGGAGGAAGCUGUGACUUUUUUGUACAUCAAAGAUAAUAUGGGCUUGUGUGGAAUUCACAAACUGGAAUGUGGAAACAUGUUUUGAGGGGAUUUAAGUGAAGAUCAAAGGAAGAAAAGAAUGUUAACUUGAAUAUUUUGUAGAUGUUCUAGGCAGUGGAAGAAGUGAAUGGUACUGAUCCAGAAUUCACACAGGGAAGGUAGAGUUGUGAGGGGAUUAUUGAACGUCUGUGGGAACUUCCACACACAGAAAGUGAAGGUCAGCCCAGUGCUGUGGUAUCAGGACACUGAAGUCACCCUGAGCAUCAGGGGAGAUUUCCUAGAGAAAUGAUAGCAGAGCAGUGAGGGGUGGAUGUUGAGGGGAGGGGAAAGGCUGGAGGAAGGAGUGUCCAGGCAGAGGGAAUAGCAUUGUUUAGUUGCAGAAUGUACAGGGAGCAGAAUCUGUUGCAUGAUUGAUCCAGUCACUACUGGUUGCGUUGAGAGAAUGUUAGGAAAUGAGUCCAGAGAGGUAAAUAGGGGCAGGAGCCAGUUCAUGAAGGGCCUUGUGGAGUUUGGGUUUUUUUCUUAGGCUUUGGAGAGUCAUUGAAGGGUUUCAGGCAGAAGAGGAUCAUUGUCCGGUUUUUGGUUUGGAGAGAACCUUGGCAGCAGUGUGGAAGUUGAAGAGGGGGACAGUGCGGCAGAGGGACAAGACUGAUUAGUAUUGCAGGGUCUGCUCUGAAGGUAUGAGGAACAGGACAUGGACAGUGACGGCAGAUUUGAGAGAGAGAAUUUGAUGGUUGGAGAUGGGAGGAGGAGGAAGGAGAAAUGAUGGGGAAGAUCAAGUCAGUUGCUGACAUGCUGUCCCUGAGGAAACAUUUAAGUGGCGGUAAAUGGAAGCAUCAUGGCUACAAGUUAAUUCAUGAAAAGCUCUUAAAACAGGGCCUGGCACAGGUUAAGCACUCAGUGUUACUUAUUAUUCAUUAAGUAAAUAAAUAUUUAUUUAGGAACCACUAACGCCCCGGUUCUAGUCUCAGACCUGGAGGAUAUAAUAUCCCCUGCCCUCACAGAACUAACAUUCUAGUGGGAGUCUCCUACCAGGCAUAAUAAGGUCACCUAGGCAAAAUUGAGAGCUGAAGUCAAAGUGAACCCUGGGGAAUCCCACUUCAGUAGUGACUGGAAUGAGGAAGAAAAGACUAAGUAGAUGGUGAUAGAAAACCAAGAAAGAAAGCUAACAAAGUGGACAAGAGUAUCAAGAAAGGGGGGUUAGUCUGCAGUGUUAUAGAUCCCUUAAGAAUUAAGAUUAAGACAUAAGAGAACAUGGGAUAUGUGAGGUAGGAAGACAGUUGAUGACAGUGGUAAUGGGGUGAGGAGUGAAUGAAAGGUGAAGAAAUGGUAACAAGUAUAGGCUAAUUUUCAGAAACUUGAUUUUGAAGGAAACAGAUGAGAUUAAAAGGCAUCGUUUAUUUUAUUUUUUUUUCCUCUGCGGUACGCGGGCCUCCCACUGCUGUGGCCUCCCCCGCUGGCUCCGGACGCGCAGGCUUAGCGGCCAUGGCUCACGGGCCCAGCCGCUCCGCGGCACGCGGGAUCCUCCCGGACCGGGGCACGAACCCACGUCCCCUGCAUCGGCAGGCAGACUCCCAACCACUGAGCCACCAGGGAAGCCCCGGCAUUGUUUAUUUUAAACCUCAACUUGGACUACAUGUUAAUGGGAAAGUACAGGAAAGAGAGUGACUGAUGGGAAUAUCUUGAGAGGGAAGAAGCAUCUUGUUUGCAUACAGGGCGGAGGCGGCAGUGGUAGGGGCAGUUGUUUGUCAAGUAAAGGCCUUUGGUCACUUUCCUUUGAAGAGGCUGUAGUAGAGCAAGGGUUGCCAGGCAGUGAGUGCUAAGGGCCCUGCUGAGGUUAAAAAGCCUUAAUUUGUAGUGAUUACAAUCUAGUUUUUUUUGGUCUCUCCCUCUCCCCUACCCCGCACCAUAUUUUGGGUAUAAGUGUUGAAAGCAGGCUGGGUGGCUCUAUUGAUGGAGAAUUUGGGUGUUUAGAGAUGGUAUAGCAGAAGGACAAGGCAUAGGAAUGUUGAUAUUAAUGCAAAAAUAAUUGAAUUUGAUGGAUCUUGAUGAAGCUUACAAGGAGGAAAUAAAACCUAAAGGAAAGGGGCUGAGAAUAAAGGAGAGGGCUCAAGAGCGAGUCUAGUAGGUGGAAGUGAGGGCUGGUAACAUUGAAGGGUAGGUAGGAGUUUGGUUUUAUUAUUUUUUACUUGUUUUGGCCGUGCCGCACAGCUUGCAGGAUCUCAGUUCCCCAACCAGGGAUUGAACCCAGGCCACGGCAGUGAAAGCUCCAAGUCCUAACCACUAGACCACAAGCGAACUCCCCUUUUUAAAAAAUUUUUUAUUUUUUAAUUUUGUUUAUGUCUUUUUGCUUUAUUUAUUUAAAAUAUUUAUUUAUUUAUUUAUGUUGGCCACACCUCUUAGUUCCCUGACCAGUGAAAUCGCCGUGUCCUAACCAUUGGACUGCCCAGGAACUCGCAGGAGUUUGAUUUUUAAAGUGAAUGGUUGGGGGUGGGGCGGGGGGAUAAAUUAGGAGUUUGGGAUUAACGUAUGCACAUUACAUAAAAUAAUCAACAAGGACCUACUCAAUAUCCUGUAAUAACCUGUAUGGGAAGAGACUGCAGAGAAUGGAUACAUGUGUAUGUCUAACUGAGUCACUUUGCUGUACGCCUGGAACUAACACAGCAUUGUAAAUCAACUAUACUCCAAUAUAAAAUAAAAAUUAAAAAAAUGAAUGGUUGUGAGUGAGGUUAAAGGUGUGGUUUAGGGAUAAGUUGUCAGAAUCGAGAUAACUGAACUGUUGUUCAGAAUUAAUUUGAGGGAGUAGCCUUGGAUAAGGAGGUAGGGCCAGAGGUCUGGAUACAGGUAAACAAUCUCAAAGAAAGUGAACAUGACAUUGAUUCUAGGAGAAAUUUUAGAAGCACAGAAAAGGCAUGAAAGAGAAGAUUGUGAGGGAGUCAGUAUGGGCUUGUAUAAGAACCUGCAUAACUAAUUUUGAUUUAACUAAUUUUUAUUUUUUAAAAAUAUUUAUUUAUUUGGUUGCACCGGGUCUUAGUUGUGCCAGGCGGGCUCCUUAGUUGAGGCUCCAGUUAACUAAUUUUUAGAAUAGGGUUAUUUGACUGCUAGCCAAGGGAGUGCUAGAGCAUAGUAUAUCUAUUUCCUGAUUUGUGAGGUUAAAUGGUGAGCUGCAGAGCUUUGGCAUUUGUCCCGGUUGUUGAAAAGUGAGAUCAGACUGGAGCAAUGGGUGGAAUCUCGGCUAAUGAAGUGGCCUUGUUUUUGCUUCAGGUCCUGUACCUUGACCCUAAAAUUCAACUGUUCGUUACAUUUGAUGCAGGUGGCACUUAACAAUAGCCAUCUUAAUAUUCGUUAAGUUUUUGUUUGUAUCAAACUACCUAAAGCAGAUAUUUCUUGUUUAUCACAGUUCUUUAUACUGGCCAGGUAGUUUGGGUCUAGACUUGCUCCUGUGGGGCCGGAAUAACUAUGAAGAGGUAAAGGCCUCUCAUCUCCAGGUUAACCCAGGCUUCUUUGCCUGGGGAAGGUUCCCAGCAGCGAGUCCUGAUUCACAAGCACUUUUCAGGCCUUUGCUUACCUCAUACUUGCUAAUGUUCUACUAGCCAAAGCAAGUCUCAUGAUCAAGUUCAGAUUAUAGAGUUGCGGAAAUAUAGUUCUUGAUGGAAGUUCUUGAUGGAAGUUCUUGAUGGAAGGAGCUGCGAAAUCAUUUAAAAGGAAGGAGAUACACACAGGGUUGGAGGGAGUUAUUAGGACCAUUUAUGCAAACAGUCUGGGCUGGAUACAGCCUAUGUAGAUUCAUGUCACUUAAACAUUUGGAAGUGACAGUUUAGGUACUGUGGUUGAUUCACUGCUGAGUGAAGUGUGCUACCUGCCCUUAAGGACUUUAGUCCUUUUAGGAGAAAGAAAGGUAUACAGUUAAACUACAAGGCAUUAGAUAUAAGCAGUAUAAUAACUGCAAGGUGAAAGUUACACACAGAGUAAGCAGUAGUUAGUUCUGCCUGAGGAAUUUUCAGGCUUCAGGAAGUAAGUGUAGUAUUUGAAUUAGGGCUUAAAAGAUGACAUAUAGAGAAUUUUUCUUCAUAGUUCUGGAAGUGCGUUUUAGGUGGUUGGAAAAGCAUGAUAGCAGAGGAGUGUGUAAUAUGAGGAAGACUGCGAGACCUGGGUCUGGGUAUUGAUGACUUGAAGCAGGGCUCUAUUGAUAUUUGGGGCAAAUUAUUCUUUGCUCUUGUAUGUGGCUGACCUGUGCAUUGUAGGAUGUUCACCAGCAUGCCUGGCCUCUGCCUGGUAGAUAAUAUCUAAAUAGAGCUGCUUUUAAAAUGCACUGUACCAUAGGUUAUACAGCAUUUUCAAAUACACCAGCUUAUUUACCUUCUUCCCCCUGCCCCCCUCCCCCCCCAAAAAAAGCAGAUCUAUGGUAAAACUAGCGUUAUAAAUGUUAGUUCAUUUGUGCUGAAUUCAGAAAAUAGCCCGGCUAAAGUGUGAAGUGGUGUAUUCUAAAUAGCAGACUGACGAGUACUGGCAAAUUUGGGGGGAAAGAGUCAGGAUGAUGAGGGGAGUUGUAUCUAGAUCAUAGAAACAGUUAAGUAGAGAAGACCUAGGGGUAUGAGGACUAUCUGUUUGAAGAAGUGAUUCUGGCUCCAAGAAAUAAAAUUCUUAAGGCUAGCGACUGGCAGUUUUAGGGGAGAUAAACUUAGCUUUAUCUUCAAGUCAGGUACUUCUGAUGUUACUCUCUAAAGGUGGAUUUAGGCAGAAUUCUCCCAGGUGUCCAAGUAGAGGGUUGGAAGAGCACCCAGCAGGGUCUGCAAGAGGGAGGGGAGCACAGCUUUGGGUUUGUGUGUGGAUUGUCUGUAAUUUGAGAAGUUGUUAUUUUAGUAUAUUUCUCUCCUGCCUUUUUUCCCCAUAGUGGCAGAAUUGAAUUGCUUCAUAAUGAAGAAUACCCAUGGUAGGGAAUGUAAAAUUCUUAUCCCUUUUCAGGUUUGCUUAACUAUAUCUGAGCAAUAGAGAUAACGCUCUCGUUCUCAUUUUUGGCGAGGCUAUUGAGAAAUAUUAACCUAUGUCAAACUACGUAGUUUAUUUGAAAGCGCAAGAGGAGGAUUAAAUAAGAGGUAGAGGUUCAUGCUGUAUUAUAGUGGGUUUUCUUUGUAACAGCCCACAUGUUAUGAAGUAUUUGGAAUUCUGAACUUGUCAAAUAAGCUAAUUAAUUAUUGACAUGUGUGAAAGUGCUGUAGAGACUAUGGCAUAGUGCAGCAGUUUUAUCUUUAUUGAGAUAUGGUUCACAUACCAUACAAUUCACCCAUUUGAAGUGUACAGUUCACUGGUUUUUAGUGUGUUCAGAGUUUUGUAACCAUCACUAGUAUCUAAAUACAGAACAUUGUCACCUCCCCAGAAGAAACCCUGUACCAUUAGCAAGCUGUCACUGCCCUCUGCCCUGCCUCCCCGCCCCCCCCCCCAACAAAAAGAGCUCUAAGCAACCACUAAUCUAUUUUCUGUUUUUAUAGAUUUGCCUGCUUGGGACAUUUCAUGUAACUGGAAUCAUAAUAUGUGGUCAUUGAUGAUAGGCUUCUUUCACUAGCCUAAUAUUUUUAUUGUCAUCCAUGUGGUACCAUGUAUCAGAACUUCAUUCCUUUUUAUGCCUGAAUAAUAUUCCAUUGUAUGGAUAAUGCUACAUUUAACUUAUCUUUUCAUCUGUUGACAUUUGGAUUGUUUCCACUUUUUGGCUGUUUUAACUAAUGCUGCUGGGAACAUUUGUGUGCAAGUUUUUGUGUGGGUCUCAUGUUUUCAUUUCUUUUGUAUAUACCUAGGAGUGGAAUUGCUGAGUCACGUGGUAACUCAACAUUUUGAGGAACAUUGUCCUGCAGUUCUUAACCUGGAGAAAUAGACGUGUGUGGAUCCCAUGCAAUACUGAAUCUUUGAAGGUUAGGGCGCUAGGGAGAGUGUUUUACAAAAAGCUCCUCCUUGGUUAAGAACCAGUCAUAUAGUGGAAAGCAUAUGGGAUUUUGAGCCGUGAGAUUUGCAUUCCAUUCUUUGGCUCUGAGCCUUAAUUUUCUAAACUCUAAAAUGGAAAUAACAGUACUAAAUCAUAAAGGGUUAUCUGGAGGACCAAGGAGGUAUUAUAAUUUUAGUGAAGAUCUCAUUUUUGAUACUACAAAAGUUAUUUAGAAAAAUACGGAAUAGAUGAAUACUUCUUAACAUGAUAGAAGUAUCUUUUAAACAAAGAGUUGGUAUUUAAGAAUGAAACACUGGACGUAUUCCAUUAAAUUCAAAAUGAAACAAAGAUGCACAUUAUAAGCAUUAUUAAUGUUGUCCUUGUCCUUGCAGUAGAUGUGAUACAGUAUAAGAAAUCUAACCACGGGAAAGGACAAGUGAUAUUUGGAAACCAUAAAAUUAGGUAGGGAGUAAACUGGAAAAAUGUUAGAAUUAGUAAUUCAGUGGAACAGGGCUGAAAUCUAUAGUAUGUAUUUCAUAUAUCAGCCCUAAUCUGUAUAAAGAUAUAAUGAAAGAUUUUUAUGCAACUAAGUUUUGGGUUUUUUUGCUUUUUAAGGUAUUCUUGGUAGAAGCGAGGUGGUGAGCACAAAGCAGCAGGUGUGGGUUUGAGUUAUUUACAUCAGUAAACUUGUUUACAUAAAACUGCUGGCUUUGAGCUUUUUUUGAAAACUUGGUUUUCAAAAUUGACUUUAAACUUUAAUCGUGGGUGUGAUUAACUCGGUAAGUUAUGGAGAGGGUUUGUUUGAAUAGGUACUACUGGUAACAGGUCAAAAUUCAACCUCCUCAACCUUGACUGCCUCCCAGCCGCUCUGUUUUCAGACCCUUCUAGAAAUACAGUGAGAGCAUACAAAUUCCUUUUUAAUGGCUACCUAGAACUCUGUUGUGUGGAUGUUUCAUAAUCUAGCCAGACUUCCAUCGAGGACCAUUUAGGUGGUUCCAAGACUUUAGCUGCUACAGAUGAUGGCAGUGAAUCAGUUUCUAGAAGUGGAAUGGCAGAGUCAGAAGUUUUCUUAGUAUUUGUAAUUCUGACAGCUGUUCCCAAUUGCCCUCCAUAAAGUUUGUACUAAUUUAUGGUUUCCAACAAUGGAUGCGAGUGCCUGUUUAUCCACAGUAUCAGCCUUCACGGUGAGUCAUCAAAGUUUAAGUUUUGCCAGUCUGAUUGGAGAAAAAUUAGCAUUUAUAAAAUGAAUGAAUUUGAGUACUCUACUUACAUUUUCCUUUUUCUUUUUCAAUUGUCCAUUCCUUUUGCUCACUUUUCUAUUACUGAUUGGUCUUAAAUUCCUUUUAGGAAGGUGUUUUUGUUUUUGUUUUUGUUUGGCUGUGCCGCUGUGAGGCUUGUGAGAUCUUAGUUCCCCAACCGGGGAUUAAACCUGGACGCUUGGCAGUGAAAGCACGGAGUUCUGACCAUUGGACCACCAGGGAAUUCCCUGCAAUAGCAUGUCUUAAAGUACAUAUUUUUUUAUUGGAGUUUAGUUAAUUUACAAUGUUGUGUUAGUUUCAAGUGUACAGCAAAGUGAUUCAAUUAUACAUAUAUAUUUUUUUCAGGUUAUUAUAAGAUAUUGAGUAUAGUUCCCUGUGCCAUACAGUACGUCCUUGUUGUAGAAAAGUACAUAUCUUAAUUAAAAAGUACUUCAUUGCUAAAAAUUGCUAGCCAUCAGUCUGACAACACAGGGUUGCCACAAGCCUUAAGUUUGUAAAAAACUGCAGUAUCUGUGAAGCGCAGUAAAACAAGGUACAGGCUCUAUUAGAGAAACUAGUCCUUUCUCUGUGACAUGUUGCAAGGUUUACAUCUUCAGAGACUCAAGGUGGGAGAAAGAGCACAGGAUUUGAAACCAGAGGACCCGAGUUUGUGUCCCUGCCCUGCUGUGUGUUAGCAGUGUGAUUUUUGGGAAAAAGUCCGUUGAUUUCUCCGCAUCACACCUGUAACGUAUAAUGUCCACCUUGUUAGGGUAGUUGUGAAAAGAACAUAGGAUUUGGUGGCUGUCAGAAAAGCCCAGGUUCUCAGGAAGCUCUCCUCUCAUCCAUGAGACCUUGAGCUUGGCCCUGAAUAUGCCAUGGAAGUUUCAUUUUUCUUCUAGGAUGUUCCUCUUCCUGGAAUGUUUCCCUUCAGCACAGUUUUUAUCCAGGGUCAUUGCUACUGGCUUUUAUUUAUUUAUUUUAAAUUGGUAAAUUUUUGUGUAGGCUUUUUUUUUUUUAAUUUAUUUAUUUUUGGCUGCAUUGGGUCUUUGUUGCUGCACGCGGGCUUUCUCUAGUUGUGGCGAGCGGGGGCUAUCCUUCGUUGUAGUGCGCGGGCUUCUCAUUGCCGUGGCUUCUCUUGUUGCAGAGCACGGGCUCUAGGCGCACAGGCUUCAGUAGUUGUGGCACGAGGGCUCAGUUGUUGUGGCUCGCGGGCUCUAGAGCACAGGCUCAGUAGUUGUGGCACACAGGCUUAGUUGCUCUGUGGCAUGUGGGAUCUUCCCGGACCAGGGCUUGAACCCGUGUCCCCUGCAUUGGCAGGCGGAUUCUUAACCACUGCGCCACCAGGGAAGUCCC